AUUGAACGCUGGCGGCAGGCCUAACACAUGCAAGUCGAGCGCGCGGCGGACGGGUGAGUAAUGUAUGGGGAUCUGCCCGAUAGAGGGGGAUAACUACUGGAAACUGUGGCUAAUACCGCAUACUAUCGGGUGACCCCAUAUGGGAUUAGCUAGUAGGUGGGGUAAAGGCUCACCUAGGCGACGAUCUCUAGCUGGUCUGAGAGUAUGAUCAGCCACACUGGGACUGAGACACGGCCCAGACUCCUACGGGAGGCAGCAGUGGGGAAGAUUGCACAAUGGGCGCAAGCCGGAUGCAGCCAUGCCGCGUGUAUGAAGAAGGCCUUCGGGUUGUAAAGUACUUUCAGUCGGGAGGCGUUACCGACAGAAGAAGCACCGGCUAACUCCGUGCCAGCAGCCGCGGUAAUAC
rnacentral:rRNA from 1 species